CGAAUGCUGACAUAAGUAACGAUAAAGCGGGUGAAAAGCCCGCUCGCCGGAAGACCAAGGGUUCCUGUCCAACGUUAAUCGGGGCAGGGUGAGUCGACCCCUAAGGCGAGGCCGAAAGGCGUAGUCGAUGGGAAACAGGUUAAUAUUCCUGUACUUGGUGUUACUGCGAAGGGGGGACGGAGAAGGCUAUGUUGGCCGGGCGACGGUUGUCCCGGUUUAAGCGUGUAGGCUGGUUUUCCAGGCAAAUCCGGAAAAUCAAGGCUGAGGCGUGAUGACGAGGCACUACGGUGCUGAAGCAACAAAUGCCCUGCUUCCAGGAAAAGCCUCUAAGCAUCAGGUAACAUCAAAUCGUACCCCAAACCGACACAGGUGGUCAGGUAGAGAAUACCAAGGCGCUUGAGAGAACUCGGGUGAAGGAACUAGGCAAAAUGGUGCCGUAACUUCGGGAGAAGGCACGCUGAUAUGUAGGUGAAGUCCCUCGCGGAUGGAGCUGAAAUCAGUCGAAGAUACCAGCUGGCUGCAACUGUUUAUUAAAAACACAGCACUGUGCAAACACGAAAGUGGACGUAUACGGUGUGACGCCUGCCCGGUGCCGGAAGGUUAAUUGAUGGGGUUAGCCGCAAGGCGAAGCUCUUGAUCGAAGCCCCGGUAAACGGCGGCCGUAACUAUAACGGUCCUAAGGUAGCGAAAUUCCUUGUCGGGUAAGUUCCGACCUGCACGAAUGGCGUAAUGAUGGCCAGGCUGUCUCCACCCGAGACUCAGUGAAAUUGAACUCGCUGUGAAGAUGCAGUGUACCCGCGGCAAGACGGAAAGACCCCGUGAACCUUUACUAUAGCUUGACACUGAACAUUGAGCCUUGAUGUGUAGGAUAGGUGGGAGGCUUUGAAGUGUGGACGCCAGUCUGCAUGGAGCCGACCUUGAAAUACCACCCUUUAAUGUUUGAUGUUCUAACGUUGACCCGUAAUCCGGGUUGCGGACAGUGUCUGGUGGGUAGUUUGACUGGGGCGGUCUCCUCCUAAAGAGUAACGGAGGAGCACGAAGGUUGGCUAAUCCUGGUCGGACAUCAGGAGGUUAGUGCAAUGGCAUAAGCCAGCUUGACUGCGAGCGUGACGGCGCGAGCAGGUGCGAAAGCAGGUCAUAGUGAUCCGGUGGUUCUGAAUGGAAGGGCCAUCGCUCAACGGAUAAAAGGUACUCCGGGGAUAACAGGCUGAUACCGCCCAAGAGUUCAUAUCGACGGCGGUGUUUGGCACCUCGAUGUCGGCUCAUCACAUCCUGGGGCUGAAGUAGGUCCCAAGGGUAUGGCUGUUCGCCAUUUAAAGUGGUACGCGAGCUGGGUUUAGAACGUCGUGAGACAGUUCGGUCCCUAUCUGCCGUGGGCGCUGGAGAACUGAGGGGGGCUGCUCCUAGUACGAGAGGACCGGAGUGGACGCAUCACUGGUGUUCGGGUUGUCAUGCCAAUGGCACUGCCCGGUAGCUAAAUGCGGAAGAGAUAAGUGCUGAAAGCAUCUAAGCACGAAACUUGCCCCGAGAUGAGUUCUCCCUGACUCCUUGAGAGUCCUGAAGGAACGUUGAAGACGACGACGUUGAUAGGCCGGGUGUGUAAGCGCAGCGAUGCGUUGAGCUAACCGGUACUAAUGAACCGUGAGGCUUAACCUU
rnacentral:rRNA from 1 species